rnacentral:sRNA from 1 species
GCUGGGCACAGUGGUUCAUGCCUGUAAUCCCAGUGGCUCGGGAGGCUGAGGCAGGAGGAUCAGAAGUUCAAAUCCAGCCUUAGCAAAGAGCAAGGUGCUAAGCAACUCAGUGAGACCUUGUCUCUA